rnacentral:rRNA from 1 species
AACGCGAAGAACCUUACCUAGGCUUGACAUACACGUGAUGGCUUCCAGAGAUGGGAGCUUCCCUUCGGGGCACGUGCACAGGUGCUGCAUGGCUGUCGUCAGCUCGUGUCGUGAGAUGUUGGGUUAAGUCCCGCAACGAGCGCAACCCUUGUCCUGUGUUGCCAUCAUUCAGUUGGGAACUCGCAGGAGACCGCCAGCGAUAAGCUGGAGGAAGGUGGGGAUGACGUCAAGUCCUCAUGGCCUUUAUGUCCAGGGCUACACACGUGCUACAAUGGACGGUACAAUACGUCGCUAACCCGCGAGGGGGAGCCAAUCGCUAAAAACCGUUCUCAGUUCGGAUUGCAGGCUGCAACUCGCCUGCAUGAAGCUGGAAUCGCUAGUAAUGGCAGAUCAGCACGCUGCCGUGAAUACGUUCCCGGGCCUUGUACACACCGAGACGUA